rnacentral:tRNA from 1 species
GCGGCGUUGGCGCAGCCGCAGGGCGCCGGGCUGUUGGCGAUAGGCCAACCCCGGUUCCACUUCAGCGCGCUGUAC